AGCAGCCGCGGUAAUUCCAGCUCCAAUAGCGUAUAUUAAAGUUGUUGCAGUUAAAAAGCUCGUAGUUGAACUUCGGGAUUUACCCAUUGGUCAGGCUUAAUUGUCUGUACUGGUGAGAUAAAUCUCUACCUUCUGAGGAACUUUCAUGCCAUUUAUUUGGUGUGAUUGGAAAUCAGGACUAUUACUUUGAAAAAUUAGAGUGUUUAAAGCAGGCUAACGUCUGAAUAUAUUAGCAUGGAAUAAUGAAAUAGGACGGCUUGGUUCUAUUUCGUUGGUUUCUAGGAUCACCGUAAUGAUUAAUAGGGAUAGUUGGGGGCAUUAGUAUUCAAUUGUCAGAGGUGAAAUUCUUGGAUUUAUUGAAGACUAACUACUGCGAAAGCAUUUGCCAAGGAUGUUUUCAUUAAUCAAGAACGAAAGUUAGGGGAUCGAAGACGAUCAGAUACCGUCGUA
rnacentral:rRNA from 1 species